rnacentral:rRNA from 1 species
UACGAAGGGGGCUAGCGUUGCUCGGAAUCACUGGGCGUAAAGGGCGCGUAGGCGGGCUCUUACGUCAGGGGUGAAAGCCCAAGGCUCAACCUUGGAAUUGCCUUUGAUACUGAGGGCCUUGAGACCGGAAGAGGUCGGCGGAACUGCGAGUGUAGAGGUGAAAUUCGUAGAUAUUCGCAAGAACACCAGUGGCGAAGGCGGCCGACUGGUCCGGUUCUGACGCUGAGGCGCGAAAGCGUGGGGAGCAAACAGG